CUGUGCGACAUUACACUGCCUGUGUUGACUGACUGUGCCUGGUUUUAUUCUUGCCGUCGUCGUCGUCGCUGCUGCUGCUGUUGCUGCUGGUUGCUCACGAUCAUACUCCCCAGAGCUACAGAGUAGGCUCAGGUAGCAACAUUUACGUCAGAAAUAUGGCCGAACGUUAAACGGAAGGAAUACAAAGUACAAGGAGGAGUUUCUACUUGACAACUUAUGUUUGAUACAUGAGAAUGAUACACGUUCAUGAUGGCUUUGAUGUCCAAAUAUUUCUCGUUAUCGAUCAUUGAUAUUUCUCUUCCAUCAAAUGUCUCAAUCGUAUAAAAAGAAGAAGAAAUAAAAAAA